rnacentral:rRNA from 1 species
AACGAACGCUGGCGGCAUGCCUAACACAUGCAAGUCGAACGAUGCCUUCGGGCAUAGUGGCGCACGGGUGCGUAACGCGUGGGAAUCUGCCCUUGGCUUCGGAAUAACAGUUAGAAAUGACUGCUAAUACCGGAUGAUGUCCCCCUGAGAGAUCUUGGGGACCAAAGAUUUAUCGGCCAGGGAUGAGCCCGCGUAGGAUUAGGUAGUUGGUGGGGUAAAGGCCUACCAAGCCGACGAUCCUUAGCUGGUCUGAGAGGAUGAUCAGCCACACUGGGACUGAGACACGGCCCAGACUCCUACGGGAGGCAGCAGUGGGGAAUAUUGGACAAUGGGGGGAAACCUGAUCCAGCAAUGCCGCGUGAGUGAUGAAGGCCUUAGGGUUGUAAAGCUCUUUUACCAGGGAUGAUAAUGACAGUACCUGGAGAAUAAGCUCCGGCGAACUCCGU